UACAGAGGGUGCAAGCGUUGUUCGGAAUUAUUGGGCGUAAAGGGCGCGUAGGCGGUGCGGUAAGUCUGUAGUGAAAUCUCUGGGCUCAACUCAGAGUCUGCUGCAGAAACUGCCGUGCUUGAGUGUGGGAGAGGUGAGUGGAAUUCCCGGUGUAGCGGUGAAAUUCGUAGAUAUUGGGAAGAACACCGGUGGCGAAGGCGGCGACCUGGUCCGAUACUGACGCUGAGGCACGAAAGCCAGGGGAGCAAACGGG
rnacentral:rRNA from 1 species